rnacentral:lncRNA from 1 species
UUUUUUUUUUUUUUUUUUGCUUUUUAAAAACUCUUGUUUGAAGUAUAAUAUAGAAAAUAUAAACAUAUAUUCAUAUAACACAGAAAGUACACACAUGAUAGCUUGAAAGUUUCAGAAACAGUACAUACCCACGUAUCCACAGAUUAGGAUUUAAACAGAGAUAAUUAACAUCUCUCUCGCUCUCGCUCUCUUUUUUACUGCACCUGCAGUAUGUGGAAGUUCCCAGGUAGGGGACUGAACCCCCACCACAGCAGUGACCCAAGCCACAGCAGUGUCAACACCUGAUCCUUAACUUGCUGAGCCACCAGGGAACUCCAACAAGCACUUCUUACUGAGGCGGAAAUUCAUAUAACAUAACAUUAACCAUAUUGAAGCAUAUAAUUUCUACAUAUAUCUACAAGGUCAUGCAACCACCACCUCUAUCUAAUUCCAACACAUUUUCAUCACCCAUAAGAAAACCUGAUACCCAUUAAGCUGUCACUCUAUUCCUCUCUCCUCCCAGGUCCUGGCAACCACAAUCUACUUUCUGUCUCUGGAUUUUUAAGUAAUGUGUUUUUAAACAUCUAAAUGUACCGCAGUUUUAAGUUAUAAUUUUUAUUGAUUUCUAACUUAAUGGCAGUGUAGUUCUUUGAUACAGAUUCUUUGCAGUUUGCUGGGAUUUGAUAUUUGCUUUAUGCCCUAAUUCAUCAUGAGUUUUAAUAAAUGUAGUACGUGAUUUGGGAAAGAAUAUAUAUUUUCCAGUGGUUGAGCCCCGUGCUCUAUAUAAGUCCUUUACAUCAAACUUGUUAAUCAUGUUAUUCAAAAUCUUUAUAACUUUACUGAAUAUUUUUGGCUGUUUGAUCUAUCAAUUACUAAGAAAAGAAGUGUUAAAUCUCCCACUCUGAUCACAGAUUUGUCAAUUAUGCCUUGAAAUACUGUCAGUUUUUGCUUUAGUGAUAGACUUUUCAGAUAAAACAGAGAGGCACUAAUCAAAGCAGAAACUUCAAAUGUGCUACAUUUGCAGAAAGAUUAUCAGCCAUCUCAGUCUUUUCUGCCGUAUUAACCUAAUUUAGUCGAAGCCUUCCCAGCAUAAGGCGGCCCUUGCUGUAUCUCUCACACCCUCUCUUUUCUUUCCUCCUGUUCCAGAAAUACAUAUGUUAAAAUCAGAAGAAUCGUCCAAGAAGAUGUCAAGCAAAAAUACUCUAGAUCCAAUAUCUUAGAUUCCCCAUAAAGGAGUUCCUUAUUUCAUUUCCAGUGAUACAGCUGAAAAUAUCUUUACAAUGAUUGUUUCACUAAGUACCAUACAGCCUGGUAGUUUUUUGUUUUCUGCAAGGGUCACUGUGCACCAAGGACAGUAGGGGACUGAAGGUGGACAAGGACUCUUGGCAUCUCCUAUCUGUGUUUCUCGGGUGUUGUGCAGCCUCUCCAUGGGACAGUGAAGCAUGAGCUAUAUUUCAGUCCACUCGGGGGAAGCCUCCAUCAUCCCACAGCUGAAUUCAAUGGGUGUUUAUUUGCUUCCUAAGCUAGAACAGGAGGGAGAAGACUAUGCAGUGAAUGGUUGGGCCGAGUCCAGCAUCUUUAGUCCUCAUUCCCUUCUACCUCUAACACAAUUGCUGAUGGAAAUCAUUACUGUCUUUACCUGGCAGCCUCAUUCUAUUUUGCUUAUAAGACAGACCAACAGCUGUGCUUUGAAAAAGCAGCGACUGUCUUUCACUGAGCCUGGAUUCGUUUCCCUUAGCAGAUGAUUUCAGUAACUUCACAUCAUUUUUCAUCUGGCAAGUCAAGGAAAGCCAAGUUUUGAGAGAAAUAAAGCUUGUUCCUUAGAGCGGAAAAAUGCCACGGAAGGUGAAACAACUUCAUUUUCCAUGCAGACAUGUGUGCCCUUCUAGUUUUUGCAGGGAGAGUUGCCUGGAUUUGUUCAAAUCAAUGUGUGGCACUCAGACUAAUUGGUUAUUUGAAAUGGGCUGCCCGGCUGGCAGCAGUCUGAGCUGCUGGAAUGACUCUGGGGUUGCUGAGUCAUUUUUCUUCCGAAGACUGAAUGGCCUAUUAUCUGAAAGGGUAGGUGGAGCCAACCCGGUUUGCCCCAACUUGCAGUGGGUGACCCUAGGAAGGGGGCCGCCUCUCCAGGGUCGCUCUUGAACUGUGAAGAAGGCAUCUGUGCCUUAGCACAAGGAACAGCCUGGGGAUCUGGGGCUGCCUCUAGAGGUCAGAGAAAGUCAUCAGUUCUGCUGGGCCAGUGUACAGUGUGAGAAUGAGACCCAGGGAGGAGCCAGGGUGUGCAAACCGGGCAGCUGGUGUGGCUUCUAGUAUUCGGGGUCCUUUCCUCCACCCCAGGACCCUCAUCUUGCUCAUUCUUCAGAGGAGAGAAGUAAGGGCAAAGAAAAAGACUAUGGAGCAGAGAAUGACUUGCCCAGUACUGUAAUACCGGUAAUGAACACUCUGAUAUUCAUUCAUAAAGACCUGUAGGUGUCUAGUCAAUCCACAUAUAAUUAUUGAACACCUUUUACACACAAAAGAUACAAAAACAAAAGUCUAAUAAGAUCACUGCCCACAAACUCCUUCUCAUCUAAUUAGUGGCCCAAGACAUAAAUACAAAACAUUAAAGAACAAUACAAGAGUUAAAUGAUGGAGUUUCCAUUGUAGUGGAGUGGAAACAAAUCCAACUAGGAACCGUGAGGUUACGGGUUCCAUCCCUGGCCUCACUCAGUGGGUUAAGGAUCUGGCAUUGCCGUGAGCUGUGGUGUAGGCUGCAGACAUGGCUUGGAUCUGGCACUGCUGUGGCUCUUGGUGUAGGCCGGCAGCAACAGCUCCGAUUAGACCCCUAGCCUGGGAACCUCCAUAUACCGAGGGUGCGGCUCUAAAAAGUCAAAAGACAAAAAAAAAAAAAACCUAACGCCAAACAUUUCUCACAGUAGAUACAUUUCUUUCCACCCCUGGAGGUAAGUAGGUGACUUGAUCUUCAGCAGGGCUGCCCCUGUUAAUAAUAAAAAUGAAGAGGCAAUGUUUUGAGAGCUUACUAGAGGUAGAGCAUUUGUAAGCCCUUUACCCAUUAUUUUAUUUAAUCUUCUGAAAAACCAUGAAACUGUAACCAAGAUCUUAAAGAAUGGGUCAUGAUUCACGUUUAAAACUAGAUAUCACAAUAAAUACCACUCCUUUGAAUUUAAGCCCUGGUCUGACUUGUGUCAACGCCUAGAACUAAAAUUCUUCUUCAUACUGUAAAAUGUUGUAUCUGAGAAGCUAAUCUAGGCCCAGGCCAUAAUACAGUGAUAUAGACCCAUAAGUGUACAAAUAGGCCUGUAACAUGGCACUGUAGGGGUUAAGGGCAGGAGGCAAGAACAGACCCUGGUUAAUGAGGUAGCUUUAUGGAGGAGAAAAUGUUUCAAUAGAAAUUCAAAGCUGGAGUUCCUGUCAUGGCUCAACGGUUAAUGAAUCCGACUAGGAACCAUGAGGUUUCGGGUUUGAUCCCUGCCCUUGCUCAGUGGGUUAAGGAUCUGGCGUUGCCGUGAGCUGUGGCGUGGGUCGCAGACGCGGCUCAGAUCCCGUGUUGCUGUGGCUCUGGUGUAGGCCGGCGGCUACAGCUCUGAUUAGACCCCUAGCCUGGGACUCUCCAUAUGCCGCAGGAGCGGCCCUAGAAAAGGCAAAAAGACAAAAAAAAAAAGUCCAAAGCUUUAUUUACAGAUUAGGAACUAAGGUAAAGACUGAAAGUUUUAACAUGUAAACUUUCCAAGUGUCUCCAGAUUAAAUUCUCAGCUAUCAUAUCAUUCAACAAAGGAGCAACUUGGUUCUCAUAGGGCUGAGGAACAUCUUGCAAUACCAGAGUAAAAAACUGUGAUCUUGGAGCUCCCAUCGUGGCUCAGUGGUUAACGAAUCCGACUAGGAACCAUGAGGUUCAAUCCCUGGCCUUGCUCAGUGGGUUGAGGAUCCUGCGUUGCCGCGAGCUGUGGUAUAGGUCACAGAUGCGGCUCGGAUCCCAUGUUGCUGUGGCUCCGGCGUAGGGCAACGGCUACAGCUCCGAUUGGACCCCUAGCCUGGGAACCUCCAUAUGCCACAGGAGCGACCCUAGAAAAGGCAAAAAGACAAAAAAAAAAACCAAAAAACUGUGAUCUUGACAGCUCUACUCUUCAGUGUUCUCAGGGCACUUCCUCUGGGGUAGAGGAAUAUGUAGCAAAUAAGAUGUAAUAUUGACCACAUCAUCCCAUUGCUUUAACCUCUCAUAGGAUAAGGUCUUGCAGAUAAAAGCCUGGUCCUCAAGGCCCCACUCAGACUCAGGGCUCAGCCCCUCUUCAGCACCAUCUUCCAAUGGGGUCAGGAGUCCAGUCUCUAGCAGCACCCAUCAGCAUGCCACCUUGCCAUCAGCCAGCUCAAUGGGAGGGCUGAGCACUUACUGUGUGGCACGCACUAUGCUCAUCUUGGAGGUAGAUGCCACAUGUUCCCUGUCCACAUCUGGAAUGUCCAGCCAUUCCCCACUGCCUGGGGCUCUGCCCCCUGUCCUUGACGACCAAGCUCAGGUCUCAUCCCUCUAGGGAGCCUAGAUUAGGUGACAUGCCCUCCUCUGUGUUCCCCUUUAUUGGAAUUGUGUUUCUGGGCUUGCCUUAAUCCCUAGACUGUAUGUUCCCUAAGGAUAGCAAUUCAUUCAUUUUGUAUUCCUAGUGCUUGUCACUUGUCAUCAAGGUUGGCACAUAGUAGGUGCUCAAUGGAUGUUUUUUGAACUGAACUUAAAAAGUAAGGCUGGUUGGGGACACAACGAGGGUCUUAUAUUCAAGGUCCCCUGGGAGAGGCAGGGGUAGGGUAAAGUGAGGCAGUGCAUGUGUUAAGUGACUGAUUAUUUUCCCUGGGAAGGAGAAAUGUGUGAAAAUGCCUUGGCCUUCCUUUUCUGUCCAGAGGGAGCUCUGCUUUCUGUGGACCAAUUAUCAUCUCCAUUGGAGGCCUGUCCUACUUUAGAGGGGAGGGUGUAGACUCGGGACCAGCCCUCUGCCCUCUACAGUGGGGGAGGGUAAAAAUGAGAGUAGGUGUUACUGACCUCAGUGGAUCAAAGAUGAGGAUGGGGAAAUGGGAAGGAUGGAGGUCUGAGUCACAGUCAGAGAUGCUAUGAGUGGUUAUGUAGAGCAAUUACGGUCAGGAAGCCAAAUGAGGAAAGCUGGAGGGAUAGAGGCCCCAAAUCCUGUGGCCACUCUGUCAGUGGCUAACAAUAACACAACAAGAAUAUUAAACACACACAGGGGGCUUACUAUAAGCGAGGCAGUUGUUCUAAGCGCUUUCUAUAAUCAUAGCAGGAUCUGCCCGGGAAGAAGGGGUCCAGGUCUCUGAAUGGGGCCCUUGAAACGUGCUGACUUCACAGAGAAGAGGGAAUUGGUGCAAAUUCAAGGAUCUCGUCGGAGUAGGUCAAAAAUCUUUGCGAGGAAGAGGUGCGUGUGACCCCAAGGCUGGCCUUGAAGAAUCAGUGAAGCCACCAGCCUGUGCCCCAAACCGGUCCAGCAGCAGAGCCUCCGCUAGGGGGAGCCUUAAGGGACUUGCUUCUCGCUGCCUUUUUGGCUGCAAGUCCCCAAGACCUGGGGGGGGGGGCUGGGGCCCUUUGGAGGGGCCCCGCCAAGUCCCGCCCCCGGAUCCUGCCCGUCAGGAUCGGUCUCCCUGCUGGGAGGAAUACAAAUAUGGAUGGAGCUUGACAUCUUCAAACAUCGUACAAGAGCAGAGGGACGACCAGUUCCAAAUGAUAAUAUUUGAAAAGCCACAGGGAGCCUCCGCUGCUGUUGAGUUAGAAUUGCUCCUAUUUCGUGUGAUUAAAGAAGCCCUCGUGGGUUUUUUCUUUUCCUUAGACAGGUUCCAGGGUGUCUCCCCUCCCACUACAGCACUUGAAGGGUUUUUAAGGUUUCUAAGUGCACUGCAUUUACACUUGCUACUCCUUCUCUAAAUGAAACGCAGGCUGAAACACAUUAAUGAGCGUCCUGAUUACUGCAGCCCUUGAGAAAUUAAUUAACGACAAUGCAGCCUGCACUUAACAUUCUUCCUGCUCCCCCAGGAACUGAGCUUUAAUUUACCUCCAACCCCAACCAAGAGACAUCACACUUGGCUUCAGCCAAGGAGCCGCUUUUCCUGGCACAUUGUGGGUUGCUUUUCCCAGAGAGUGUUAUUCUCUGGAUAAUGA